AACCAGGAUGUUGGCUUAGAAGCAGCCACUCAUUCAAAGAGUGCGUAAUAGCUCACUGGUCGAGUGAUCCUGCGCCGAAGAUUUCCGGGGCUAAAACUUACUACCGAAGCUACGGCAUCAGUAAUGAUGGGUAGGGGAGCUUCCCAUACGGGUUGAAGCAUGACCGUAAGGACAUGUGGACAGUAUGGGAGUGAGAAUGUUGGCAUGAGUAGCGAGAUGUGGGUGAGAAUCCCACAGGCCGUAAACCCAAGGUUUCCAGGGGAAGGUUCGUCCGCCCUGGGUUAGUCGGGACCUAAGCUGAGGCCGAAAGGCGUAGGUGAUGGACAACAGGUUGAUAUUCCUGUACUACCGAUAACCGUUUGAGAGAAGGGAUGACACAGUAGGAUAAGCUAAGCACACUGUUGGUUAUGUGUGCCCAAGCAUUGAGGCAGUCAAAGUAGGCAAAUCCGCUUUGAUAAUGCUGGGAUGUGAUGGGGAGCGAAAUUUAGUAGCGAAGUAGCUGAUUUCACACUGUCAAGAAAAGUCUCUAUCGAGGUUAAAGGUACCCGUACCGCAAACCGACACAGGUGGGUGAGGAGAGUAUCCUAAGGCCAGCGAGAGAACUGUUGUUAAGGAACUCGGCAAAAUGACCCCGUAACUUAGGGAUAAGGGGUGCCACCAUCAGGUGGCCGCAGAGAAUAGGCCCAAGCGACUGUUUAC
rnacentral:rRNA from 1 species